AACGAACGCUGGCGGCAUGCCUAACACAUGCAAGUCGAACGAGACCUUCGGGUCUAGUGGCGCACGGGUGCGUAACGCGUGGGAACCUGCCCUUAGGUUCGGAAUAACUCUCCGACAGGGGUGCUAAUACCGGAUAAUGUCUUCGGACCAAAGAUUUAUCGCCUUUGGAUGGGCCCGCGUUGGAUUAGCUUGUUGGUAGGGUAAAAGCCUACCAAGGCGACGAUCCAUAGCUGGUUUGAGAGGAUGAUCAGCCACACUGGGACUGAGACACGGCCCAGACUCCUACGGGAGGCAGCAGUGGGGAAUAUUGGACAAUGGGCGAAAGCCUGAUCCAGCAAUGCCGCGUGAGUGAUGAAGGCCUUAGAGUUGUAAAGCUCUUUUACCCGGGAUGAUAAUGACAGUACCGGAAGAAUAAGCUCCGGCUAACUCCGUG
rnacentral:rRNA from 1 species